GAUCUCACCGCGGACACUUGAACUCCCAGAAAAUAAUUCUUAUUGAAUUGCUCGGUGAGUGUCAAGUGUAUGAAUUUGAUACUUGCUUAUUUGUGAUACUUGUUGGGAGUUUUAAAAAUAAGGGCGGGUGCGUAUUUUAUCGCACUCGUUCUAAUUUCAAAUGAAUGAAUGAAUGAAUGAAAUGUAUUGAAUGAAUGAAUGAAAUGCAAUGUCAUGUCAUGAAUGCUUGUAUCGUUGG
rnacentral:lncRNA from 1 species